rfam:Triticum aestivum genome assembly, contig: Triticum_aestivum_CS42_TGACv1_scaffold_003746_1AL
AAGGUACUCCCUCCGUCCCAAAAUAAGUGUCGCUGAUUUAGUACAACUUCAGUACAAAGUUGUACUAAAUCAGCGACACUUAUUUUGGGACGGAGGGAGUAGUAA